rnacentral:sRNA from 1 species
CAGUCAUACAAAUGUCGAUAUCAUAGAUAAGCGAUGUUGAUUUGCGACGCUCUUGGUCGAGGCGAGGAG